rnacentral:rRNA from 1 species
UACGAAGGGGGGCUAGCGUUGCUCGGAAUCACUGGGCGUAAAGGGUGCGUAGGCGGGUCUUUAAGUCAGGGGUGAAAUCCUGGAGCUCAACUCCAGAACUGCCUUUGAUACUGAGGAUCUUGAGUUCGGGAGAGGUGAGUGGAACUGCGAGUGUAGAGGUGAAAAUUCGUAGAUAUUCGCAAGAACACCAGUGGCGAAGGCGGCUCACUGGCCCGAUACUGACGCUGAGGCUCGAAAGCGUGGGGAGCAAACAGG